GACGAACGCUGGCGGCGUGCCUAAUACAUGCAAGUAGGACGCAGUUGCGAACGGGUGAGUAACGCGUAGGUAUCUACAUAUUAGAGGGGGAUAACUAUUGGAAACGAUAGCUAAUACCGCAUACUAGGAGAUGGAACUGCGUUGCAUUAGUUAGUAGGUAGGGUAAUGGCCUACCUAGGUAACGAUACAUAGCCGACCUGAGGGGGUGAACGGCCACACUUGGACUGGGACACGGCCCAGACUCCUACAGGAGGCAGCAGGAGGGAAUCUUCGGCAAUUGGGGGAACCCUGACCGGGCAAAGCCGCGUGAGUGAAGAAGGUUUUCGGGUCGUAAAGCUCUGUUGUUAAGGAAGCGGUACUUAACCAGAAAGGGACGGCUAACUACGUGCCAGCAGCCGCGGUAAUUC
rnacentral:rRNA from 1 species